rnacentral:snRNA from 1 species
CCCGCCGCCCGAUUGCCGA